rnacentral:rRNA from 1 species
UACGGGGUGAGCAAGGCGUUGUUCGGAUUUACUGGGCGUAAAGGGCGCGUAGGCGGCCAGCACAAGUCAGUUGUGAAAUCUCCGAGCUUAACUCGGAAAGGUCAACUGAUAACUGUGCGGCUAGAGUGCGGAAGGGGCAACUGGAAUUUACGGUGUAGCGGUGAAAUGCGUAGAUAUCGUAAGGAAGACCAGUGGCGAAGGCGGGUCUCGUGGACAGUUCCUGACGCUGAGGCACGAAGGCCAGGGGAGCAAACGGG